rnacentral:rRNA from 1 species
UACGUAGGGAGCAAGCGUUGUUCGGAUUUACUGGGCGUAAAGGGCGCGUAGGCGGCAGAUUAAGUCAGACGUGAAAUCCCCCGGCUUAACCUGGGAACUGCGUCUGAUACUGGAAGGCUUGAGUUUGGGAGAGGGAUGCAGAAUUCCAGGUGUAGCGGUGAAAUGCGUAGAUAUCUGGAGGAAUACCGGUGGCGAAGGCGGCAUCCUGGACCAACACUGACGCUGAGGCGCGAAAGCUAGGGGAGCAAACGGG